GACGAACGCUGGCGGCGUGCUUAACACAUGCAAGUCGAACGGAAAGGCCCUGCGGGGUUCUCGUGCUGGGGACGGGAGAGUGAGAGGAGGAUGAUCGGCACCGCACUUUGGGAUAAGCAUGGGUAACUGGGACUAAUGCCAAAACUGGACAUCGGCUUCUUCGUCGGGGGUGGGGAGGUUUUGCGGUGGGGGAUGGGCCCGCGGCCUAUCAGCUUGUUGGUGGGGUAGUGGCCUACCAAGGCGACGACGGGUAGCCGGCCUGAGAGGGUGACCGGCCACACUGGGACUGAGAUACGGCCCAGACUCCUACGGGAGGCAGCAGUGGGGAAUAUUGCACAAUGGGCGCAAGCCUGAUGCAGCGACGCCGCGUGAGGGAUGACGGCCUUCGGGUUGUAAACCGCUUUCAGCAGAGACGAAGCGCAAGUGACGGUAUGUGGAGAAGAAGGACCGGCCAACUACGUG
rnacentral:rRNA from 1 species